rnacentral:rRNA from 1 species
UUGGAGGGCAAGUCUGGUGCCAGCAGCCGCGGUAAUUCCAGCUCCAAUAGCGUAUAUUAAAGUUGUUGCAGUUAAAAAGCUCGUAGUUGAAUUUCGGAAUCUGUCCGUCGGUCGGGCUUCACUGUCCGUACUGGUGUGAUGGGUUUCUACCUUCUGAAUAACCGGCAUGUCAUUAAUUUGGUGCGCCGGGGAAGCAGAACUAUUACCUUGAAAAAAUUAGAGUGCUUAAAGCAGGCUAUCGCCUGAAUAGAUUAGCAUGGAAUAAUAAAAUAGGACGGCAUGGUUCUAUUUUGUUGGUUUCUAGGAUCACCGUAAUGAUUAAUAGGGAUAGUUGGGGGCAUUAGUAUUCAAUUGUCAGAGGUGAAAUUCUUGGAUUUAUUGAAGACUAACUUCCGCGAAAGCAUUUGCCAAGGAUGUUUUCAUUAAUCAAGAACGAAAGUUAGGGGAUCGAAGACGAUCAGAUACCGUCGUAGUCUUAACCAUAAACUAUGCCGACUAGGGAUCGGACGAUGUUAAUUUUUUAAUGACUCGUUCGGCGCCUUACGGGAAAC